UGGCUCAGGACGAACGCUGGCGGCGCGCCUAACACAUGCAAGUCGGACGAGAGAGAGGGAGCUUGCUUCCUCGAUCGAGUGGCGAACGGGUGAGUAACGCGUGAGGAACCUGCCUCAAAGAGGGGGACAACAGUUGGAAACGACUGCUAAUACCGCAUAAGCCCACGGCUCGGCAUCGAGCAGAGGGAAAAGGAGCAAUCCGCUUUGAGAUGGCCUCGCGUCCGAUUAGCUAGUUGGUGAGGUAAUGGCCCACCAAGGCGACGAUCGGUAGCCGGACUGAGAGGUUGAACGGCCACAUUGGGACUGAGACACGGCCCAGACUCCUACGGGAGGCAGCAGUGGGGAAUAUUGCACAAUGGGGGAAACCCUGAUGCAGCGACGCCGCGUGGAGGAAGAAGGUCUUCGGAUUGUAAACUCCUGUUGUUGAGGAAGAUAAUGACGGUACUCAACAAGGAAGUGACGGCUAACUACGUGCCAGCAGCCGCGGUAAAACGUAGGUCACAAGCGUUGUCCGGAAUUACUGGGUGUAAAGGGAGCGCAGGCGGGCGAUCUAGUUGGAAGUGAAAUCCAUGGGCUCAACCCAUGAACUGCUUUCAAAACUGAUUGUCUUGAGUAGUGCAGAGGUAGGCGGAAUUCCCGGUGUAGCGGUGGAAUGCGUAGAUAUCGGGAGGAACACCAGUGGCGAAGGCGGCCUACUGGGCACCAACUGACGCUGAGGCUCGAAAGUGUGGGUAGCAAACAGGAUUAGAUACCCUGGUAGUCCACACCGUAAACGAUGAUUACUAGGUGUUGGAGGAUUGACCCCUUCAGUGCCGCAGUUAACACAAUAAGUAAUCCACCUGGGGAGUACG
rnacentral:rRNA from 1 species